UAAGCCAAGGAGAAUGAAUCAUGCACAGUCCAAUGCAGUAUCCCCAGGCUUUCAAUUCUCACCCACCUACUGGCAACAGUAAGGCCCGAUGUGCACCAGGCACAGGUUAUAAAAUCCAGGCGCGGAUUGCAUUUUGCGUUGGCUGCGCUUAAGAAAGGAAAUGAAACCAGUCAGGAGGAAGCAUUAUGUGGAGACUUUUUUAUGCUGAUAAAGAUUGUGAGCCGCUCAAGAGGAAAGAGCCCUGAGGUGCACGAAGAUUGGAUCGAUGUGGGGCCUUGGCUGCUCUGAUCCAACCAACCGCAGUCGCCCCUUUGACAAGAGGGCACUGAGGGGUUGCAGUUGCCUGGGGGCCUUCCCAGUAACACACGUUCUGUGGAUCAUAUAGACUGAAAAAUAUUGGAGAACCUCAGCGGAUCACGUUUCACAGCCACCUGCAAUACAGUGGAGAGACAAGCUGCUCGUGUGUAGAUGAUCAGUGUCACAUGGUGAGCAGGUGCUCGCCACACUGGUGCUCACAGCAAUAGCAACGGGAGGUGGCUGCACAAUUAUUACAGCAAUACAUGUAACAUACCCAGUUGAUAAAGUCUGCACAAUGAAUUCACAUCAUCAGCCUAGGCUCUCCCAUGGCUAGCAUCCUACGGGCUCCAAAGUGCACCCCUCCUGGCUCAACAAUGAUCGUGCAUUCAUCAGUGGACACUGAUUCAACAAGUCUCUCUUUGGCCGCUGCCCAGCCACACUCAUCACCUAUCACUGGAACUAUCAAGAAGGAGAAGAUCGUCUCAGUUGCCUGGAGGUGAACAGUUUUGCUCUCUACCACAUGCUUCCCAUCCCAGGGUCCUGUCUCAGUGCAGUCUCCCAAACAAGGAAGCCAACUGACUUCUGACCAUGGACUGAAACUUCUGCAAACAUGAGCCAAAAUAAAUCUCUUCCUUAGAGGUUUAUCUCAGGCAUUCGUCACAAGUACAGAAAGCUGGCUAACCCAGGUAGGCUCUGGGAACUAUAAAGGAUUCCUAGAAACUGUCUUCCACCUGCCAGACUUCAAAACCUCAAGGCCUGCACUCAUACAGCUGCAGGGAAAUGAAUUCUGCUAAUAGCCAAAUGAGCUCAAAAUUGGAUUCUCUCCCAGUUGAGCCUCCAGAUGGGAACACAGCCCAGGUGAUAACUUUGAUUGUAGCCUUUGUGAGACUCUGAACAGAGAGUGAAGAUAAGCCAUGGCUGAAAUGUCUGACUCAAACAAACUGAUAUAAUGAGUUUAUGCUAUUUUAAGCCACUAAAUUUGUUAUACAACAACAGCAACAAAGUAGUGUAGCACCCAAGAUGGGGAACUACUUAUCUCAUGUAUUUCAUUCAACUGUAGUCUUUAAAGUCGUAUAUUAUGUUCUGUAUGGCCAGUGUUGUGGUUUAGAUGCAGGCUGUCUCCCAAAGCCGCAUACAUUCAGGGUGAUUUGUGCAGGGAUGCUGACCUGCUGUUAGGAGGUGGGUCUGGUCACAAAGGUGGGUCACUGGGAGUGUGACUUGGAAGGGUUUAUCUCCCAGGUUUCUCUCCCUCCCUGACUCUUCCCUGUCUCUCCUUCCUGGCUGCCAUGAGCUGAGCUGCUCUCCUGCUCUAGUCCUUUUCCUGUGCACUUCCUGCCUUGGAGCCAGCUCACCAGCCAAAAUGCGCCAAAAUGAACCUAUUUUUCUUUAAGCUGUUGCUGUUGAGUAUUUUGUUUCAGCAAUAAAA